rnacentral:lncRNA from 1 species
CUAAUGGUUUGGUGAUUUUGUUUUAUUCAGUGUUAUUAUCGGUAAGCAAAGACUUACUAAUGCCAUUUUGAUUCUUAUUUUCUGGUGGUUUUGUACCUUCUCUCCUCUUACUUCCUUUCUUGCUGUCUUCUUUCAUGGCUAAGUGAUUUUCGCUGGUAGUAUUUUUAAUUCAUUGUUUUUUAUUUUUAGUGAAUCUAUUAUAGGUUUUUGUGUUGUGGUUACCUUGAGGAUUAUAAAAAGCAUCUUGCAGACAUAAGAAAUUA